rnacentral:rRNA from 1 species
UAGNGUAGCGGUGAAAUGCGUAGAUAUUAGGAAGAACACCAGUGGCGAAGGCGACUUUCUGGACGAAAACUGACGCUGAGGCGCGAAAGCCAGGGGAGCGAACGGGAUNAGAUACCCCGGUAGUCCUGNCCGUAAACGAUGGGUACUAGGUGUAGGAGGUAUCGACCCCUUCUGUGCCGGAGUUAACGCAAUAAGUACCCCGCCUGGGGAGUACGACCGCAAGGUUGAAACUCAAAGGAAUUGACGGGGGCCCGCACAAGCGGUGGAGUAUGUGGUUUAAUUCGACGCAACGCGAAGAACCUUACCAGGUCUUGACAUUGAUGGACAGAACCAGAGAUGGUUCCUCUUCUUCGGAAGCCAGAAAACAGGUGGUGCACGGUUGUCGUCAGCUCGUGUCGUGAGAUGUUGGGUUANNNNNNNANANNNNNCGCAACCCCUAUCUUAUGUUGCCAGCACUUUGGGUGGGGACUCAUGAGAGACUGCCGCAGACAAUGCGGAGGAAGGCGGGGAUGACGUCAAAUCAUCAUGCCCCUUAUGACCUGGGCUACACACGUACUACAAUGGGAGUUAAUAGACGGAAGCGAGAUCGCGAGAUGGAGCAAACCCGAGAAACACUCUCUCAGUUCGGAUCGUAGGCUGCAACUCGCNUACGUGAAGUCGGAAUCGCUAGUAAUCGCAGGUCAGUAUACUGCGGUGAAUACGUUCCCGGGCCU